rnacentral:rRNA from 1 species
AUUGAACGCUGGCGGCAGGCCUAACGCAUGCAAGUCGAGCGGCAGCGGGAAAGUAGCUUGCUACUUUUGCCGGCGAGCGGCGGACGGGUGAGUAAUGCCUGGGGAUCUGCCCAAUCGAGGGGGAUAACUACUGGAAACGGUAGCUAAUACCGCAUACGCCCUACGGGGGAAAGCAGGGGACCUUCGGGUCUUGCGCGAUUGGAUGAACCCAGGUGGGAUUAGCUAGUUGGUGAGGUAAUGGCUCACCAAAGCGACGAUCCCUAGCUGGUCUGAGAGGAUGAUCAGCCACACUGGAACUGAGACACGGUCCAGACUCCUACGGGAGGCAGCAGUGGGGAAUAUUGCACAAUGGGGGAAACCCUGAUGCAGCCAUGCCGCGUGUGUGAAGAAGGCCUUCGGGUUGUAAAGCACUUUCAGCGAGGAGGAAAGGUUGGUAGCUAAUAACUGCCAGCUGUGUCGUUACUCGCAGAAGAAGCACCGGCUAACUCCGUGCCAGCCGCCGCCGUAA